GACGAACGCUGGCGGCGUGCUUAACACAUGCAAGUCGAACGAGUGGCGAACGGGUGAGUAAUAUAUGGGGAUCUGCCCGCUAGAGGGGGAUAACUCCUGGAAACGGUGGCUAAUACCGCAUACUAUCUGAUGAACCCAUAUGGGAUUAUCUAGUGGGUGGGGUAAAGGCUCACCAAGGCGACGAUCUCUAGCUGGUCUGAGAGGAUGAUCAGCCACACUGGGACGGAGACACGGCCCAGACUCCUACGGGAGGCAGCAGUGGGGAAUAGUGGACAAUGGGCGAAAGCCUGAUACAGCCAUGCCGCGUGUAUGAAGAAGGCCUUAGGGUUGUAAAGUACUUUCAGCGGGGAGGCGUUACCUGCAGAAGAAGCACCGGCUAACUCCGUGCCAGCAGCCGCGGUAAUAC
rnacentral:rRNA from 1 species